rnacentral:rRNA from 1 species
GGGGUGAGUAACGCGUAGGUAUCUGUCUCUGGGUGGGGGAGUAACCAUGGGAAACUAUGGCUAAUACCGCAUGAAGCCUGAGGGCCAAAGCAGCAAUGCGCCUGGAGAGGAGCCUGCGUACGAUUAGCUAGUUGGUGGGGUAAAGGCCCACCAAGGCGACGAUCGUUAGCUGGUCUGAGAGGAUGAUCAGCCACACUGGGACUGAGACACGGCCCAG